AAAAAAACAAAAAUGGAAUCGUCUCUCUCAAUCCCUCUUCUCUCGACUCACCAUCUCAGAUGACGAGAACUCUCAAACACUCAUCUCUCUCAAUCUUCCUAAACUUUCGCUCACUCCAUCACUCUCAAUGUCCUAAACUUUCGCUCACUCCAUCACUCUCAAUGUCCUAAACUUUCACUCACUCCAUCACUCUCAAUGUCUCUCUCGUCCAAACAGCAUGAAAGUUUGGAAGGAAGCUCACCUUCGGUGAAUCGGUAGCCCAGCUUAGGGUUUCGGUUUGAUGCUCAAAGGUUCGAAAGGAGAAAGUUUCCAGAAUCGCUUUUGCUGCUCAGAAACGAGUUGUCUUUUUUUGAUGUUACAAUUCGAAAAUGUGAAAAAUUAUUGAAGACUCAAGAGUGGUUUGGUCCCGGUAUUUGCUCUCUAGGAUGACUCGCUUCACAGCAGUUUCCAAUUGGUCAGCAAAUGCAGGAAACCCAAGAUGCCUAAGCAUCAUUGCCGAUGAAAGGAGGAGUGCCACAGGGUCGGCUUGUGUAUCCAGCAUAUCAGGAUUUAAGUCAUUGACUUUCUCGAUUGCAUCUUCUUAGCUGAACCUAGACUUCUGAAUUACAUGGGAUUUUGCAUAUUUUCACAUUUGAAACCCCUACUCGUAGGUUCUGCAUCAUUGUAAAAAUACUGAUUUUCUUCCUUAAUUUGUUUUCAAUGCAGUAGCCUCCAGAGGAUGACCAUGAGAACUCCCUGUUGGAUGUGAUUCUUUAAAAGUAGAAGACGGAAAUCCAUCGUGUUCAGACCUUGAUCCAAACGAUGCAGGAAGGACGGGUGUAUAAUUUAACAUCAUCCUCUCAACAUCUUCAAAGUUGUCUAUAUCAAACCACCUAUCGGUAUCAAGAAAGUUAAGCUCAUUAUCAGGUUGCGAUACAUGAUUAACUGACUGUUGAGACACACUAUCAUCCUCCAUCAAGCUCCUAGGCGUCCGAGGAGUUCCUGGAAUGGAUGAUUGUUGGAGAAAGCAUGUGCAUGUCAUAACCAUAAUAUGUACAUCAAGAGUUAUGGCGCAUUCGACCCCAUUCAUAUAAGAAAUUGGAUUUCUAGAUAUCAGCCAAGAAGCAAGGACAGUAUCUGCAACCUUAAUGUUUCCAGCAACAUUAAAUGUUUAGAAGGUUGUAUGUGGGUUUGGCAAUGUUUGCUGGUGUAAGUCUUUGUUUCUUUAGCUUCGGCACACCUGUCACAAAUGCCUUUUGAAGCUGUCCACUUAAUCCGGUAGCCUACGGUUUAACAGUCGCCACCUUGUUGGUUUUCCAGAGAUAUACGACAAUGAUUGAAACAAUAACGAAUGCAGCACCCUUCCGUGAUGAUAACAACGAAGACCAUUGUAGGAACUUCACAGACCUUGUUGCUUUAGAUCAACGAAAGCAUCAUCGGAUAUGUGUUUGUCUAACAAUGCAUCCUUGUCGUCAACCGAAGCAUAACAAUUAACACUCCAUUAUAGCUUCUGCUGUGGGGAACCAAACAAUUAUCGGCAGUUACGGUUACGGUUAGGUAAUUUGGUGAGGAGAUGUGCUACAGUGAUAAAGAUGAAUGGCAAUGGCGGUAGUGAAGCAAAUAUGAGACUGGAGUUUGGUUGCUGCAACAACAAAACGGUUUGAGCCUGAGGACCAAACUGAUGCCGGAAUUCACAGGAAGUGUAUCCUUGGUAGACAUGUCACUUCCUACAUGAAGGAUUCGAUUAAAGAUGAACCAGAAGGUGUUUGAGCUUGACGGAUUGAAGAACUUUACAAGAAAGUUCAUGCUGCUAUUAUACAGAUCCUUCAACUAGAAGGGUAUGCAAAUCUCUCUUCAUCAGCAGGCAGUUCAGAAGUGUCAUGUUCAGGUGUAUAAUUAGCUCCUCAGAUUCGCCUUGUUAGUUUUCCUUCAAUCCACUUUUGCGUCUCAAUUUUGGUUGAUGUUGUUACGGUACCGAAUUCGUGGUUGACGUAGCAAUUGAAUGUUCAAAACGCAUUACAAUGCCAUCUGAUGAAUGCUGAAUUCUGCUACUUAACAUGAGAAGCUAAGUUCAUAAGCUUGCCGCCGUAGCUAUUGAUCAUGAAAUCGCGGCAAAGUUGAUGUGGAAAAGCGAAUAAGGAACGCCAUCUGCUUCUGUGAAUGAACAUGCUUCAGACGAGUGCCUUCUUUGACUUUUCUCGUUUUUGGAUUACGUGUAUCUCUGUUUUUCUUGUAAAUUAAAUAUGCCUUGGACAAACUUAUGUUUUGUAAAAAAUGACAUUAUUGUGAAUAAAAAAAAGUUAGCUUC